GGGGAGGUUAAGUACGUAGGCACCAUGGAUGGUGAAUCGUACAUACUACUGGUAGUAUCUUUGGAAGAUUCCCUGCUCC
rfam:Glossina brevipalpis unplaced genomic scaffold Scaffold13, whole genome shotgun sequence.